rnacentral:rRNA from 1 species
UACGUAGGGAGCAAGCGUUGUCCGGAAUCAUUGGGCGUAAAGCGCGCGUAGGCGGCCCGAUAAGUCCGUUGUGAAAGUCAAGGGCUCAACCCUUGAAAGCCGGUUGAUACUGUCGGGCUAGAGUCCGGAAGAGGCGAGUGGAAUUCCCGGUGUAGCGGUGAAAUGCGCAGAUAUCGGGAGGAACACCAAUGGCGAAGGCAGCUCGCUGGGACGGUACUGACGCUGAGACGCGAAAGCGUGGGGAGCAAACAGG